GGAGACUCUGUGCGCGUGCAUAUCAAUAAGCGGAGGAAAAGAAACUAACAAGGAUUCCCUUAGUAACGGCGAGUGAAGCGGGAAGAGCUCAAAUCUGAAAUCUUCAAGGUUCUACCUUGACGAAUUGUAGUUUAUAGAAGUGUUUUCUGUUAGUAGGAGUGGCAAAAGUUCUCUGGAAUAGGACAUCAUAGAGGGUGAGAAUCCCGUAUUUGGUCAUUCCUUCUAGCUUUGUGAUACACUUUCAAAGAGUCGGAUUGUUUGGGAAUGCAGUCCAAAAUGGGUGGUAAAUUUCAUCUAAAGCUAAAUAUUGGCGAGAGACCGAUAGCGAACAAGUACCGUGAGGGAAAGAUGAAAAGAACUUUGAAAAGAGAGUUAAACAGUACGUGAAAUUGUCAAAAGGGAAGCGUUUGACACCAGUGUUGUUUUUCCGAAAAUCAAUUACGAAUGUUUUAUUUUCUGAGGAAGUUAUGACUUCAUCGGCUUGCCUUCUCUCUUCACUGAAACUUUUGUAAUGCACUUUUCGGUUAACAAGUCAACAUCAAUUUCUUUUGUUGUAAAAGAGUAUGCGGAAGGUGGCUUUCUUUUCGGAGAAAGUGUUUAUAGCCCUAGUACUUCUAGCAAUCGGAGAGAUUGAGGUCUGCAGCGUAGAUCCUUCGGGGUUAGAUACAUUUGUGCUAAGUUAUAGCUUUUCAUAGACAACUUGUUGACUAUGUUUAGUCUUGUAGCUUACUCGCUUAUGCUAUUUUACCUACGCUUAGGAUGUUGACGAUCAGCUGAGCGCG
rnacentral:rRNA from 1 species